GCCAGUUGUCCCCUCGACAGUGACUGAAGAACAGAACCCACUAAUCUUUCUCCAAUUCUCCAUGAGAAUAUCAUCACGAGUUGUCUCCAUGAGAAUAUGAUUCGAGCCACUAACCUAUCCAGCUGAUCGAUAACAUGGAACCAGAUUCGCUGCGCGAAAGCGAAUUCCAUUAGCAAGUGGUCCAUCAUCUCCGCUGUAGAAGGCAUAAGGGAUAGUGAGGCAUAUGUGGAUGUUGAAGACCAGCUUGAUCUUGUCGUGCUAGCCAAAGGAAGAACUUGCAGCGCAACACAAUGAUGUCCAGGACUUCCAGUACAGAACAGCUUGCACCCUAGCCCUGGAUGUGCCACCGCCAAGAGAGCUAAUUCGAACAGCGCCCGAGAAGAAGGAGCUCCCUUCUGCCGACAUAUAUACUGAUCCACCUUCAUUUUAUCAUAGAUGGCAUAAGUUUGAUGCUGAUAAGUGCACUUGUUUCUGGGAGCAUAACAUUUGC